rnacentral:rRNA from 1 species
GCGGAGGAAAAGAAACAACAGGGAUUGCCCUAGUAACGGCGAGUGAAGCGGCAACAGCUCAAAUUUGAAAUCUGGCGUUUCCGACGUCCGAGUUGUAAUUUGCAGAGGAUGCUUUUGGCGACGUGCCUUCCGAGUUCCCUGGGACGGGACGCCACAGAGGGUGAGAGCCCCGUACGGUCUGGCGCCGAGCCGCUGUAAAGCUCCUUCGACGAGUCGAGUAGUUUGGGAAUGCUGCUCUAAAUGGGAGGUAAACUCCUUCUAAAGCUAAAUAUUGGCCAGAGACCGAUAGCGCACAAGUAGAGUGAUCGAAAGAUGAAAAGCACUUUGAAAAGAGAGUUAAACAGCACGUGAAAUUGUUGAAAGGGAAGCGCUUAUGACCAGACUUGGGCUUGGUGGUUCAGCCGUCCUUCUGGGCGGUGCACUCCGCCGGUUCAAGGCAGCAUCAGUUGCCGGUUGGGGAGAAAGGUGGUGGGAACGUGGCUCCUCGGAGUGUUAUAGCCCACACUAUGCCCUCCUGGCGACUGAGUUAGCGUUCUUCACGGAUGCUGGCGUAAUGGUUAUCAGCGACCCGUCUUGAAACACGGACCAAGGAGUCGUCCUGUCAUGCGAGUGUUCGGGUGCCAAACCCCUACGCGUAAUGAAAGUGAACGGAGGUGAGAGCUUCGGCGCAUCAUCGACCGAUCCUGAUGUCCUCGGAUGGAUUUGAGUAAGAGCAUGGCGGGCCGGACCCGAAAGAAGGUGAACUAUGCUUGGAUAGGGCAAAGCCAGAGGAAACUCUGGUGGAGGCUCGCAGCGGUUCUGACGUGCAAAUCGAUCGUCAAAUCUGAGCAUGGGGGCGAAAGACUAAUCGAACCUUCUAGUAGCUGGUUUCCACCGAAGUUUCCCUCAGGAUAGCAGUGCUGAUUCUCAGUUUUAUGAGGUAAAGCGAAUGAUUAGGGACUCGGGGGCGCUUAUUUGCCUUCAUCCAUUCUCAAACUUUAAAUAUGUAAGAAGCCUUCGUUGCUUUAGUGAACGGAGGCAUUAGAAUGUACAGCACUAGUGGGCCAUUUUUGGUAAGCAGAACUGGCGAUGCGGGAUGAACCGAUCGCGAGGUUAAGGUGCCGGAGUGGUCGCUCAUCAGACACCACAAAAGGUGUUGUCACAUCUUGACAACAAGACGGUGGCCAUGGAAGUCGGAAUCCGCUAAGGACUGUGUAACAACUCACCUGCCGAAUGUGACAGCCCUGAA